rnacentral:rRNA from 1 species
CAGUCGCCGCGGUAAUACGAAGGGUGCAAGCGUUACUCGGAAUUACUGGGCGUAAAGCGUGCGUAGGUGGUGGUUUAAGUCCGUUGUGAAAGCCCUGGGCUCAACCUGGGAAUUGCAGUGGAUACUGGGUCACUAGAGUGUGGUAGAGGAUAGUGGGAUUUCCGGUGUAGCAGUGAAAUGCGUAGAGAUCGGAAGGAACAUCUGUGGCGAAGGCGACUAUCUGGGCCAACACUGACACUGAGGCACGAAAGCGUGGGGAGCAAACAGGAUUAGAUACCCCCGUAGUCCCUGUCUCUUAUAC